UAUCUCUCUCCUCCUCCUCCCACCUCUCUCUCUUCUAAACUCGUACCCUUCCCUUUCCCUGCACUCGAUUCCCUUUGUUUUCUAUUCGUUCUAGGGUUUGAAAUUAUGGGGCUCUCCUUUCUCAAGAAACCCAUAAAAUAUUGAACCUCUCUAUAUUAAAAUUAUCCACAUAUUUUACUAUAUUUUUCUUGUUUUCUGUUCUCUUUAGCUCUCUGUGUAUGGCUGGCUUAGACUUGGGCUCAGCAUCUCGCUUUGUUCAUCAGCAGCUCCAAAUCCCCGACCUCCACCUCCAAAGACCACCGGAUUCUGAAGAUGAUCACAACACCCCCAACCGCAACAACCUUUUCUCCUCCGACCACCACCAAAACGACGUCGAUGAUGACAACCCUAAUCAUCAAGGGCUUGAUCUUGUGACCCCAAACCCUGGUUCGGGGGAUUCUGGAGGUAGACGCUCCAGAGGUCGACCUCCAGGAUCAAGGAACAAGCCCAAACCUCCCGUGAUCAUAACUCGGGAGAGCGCAAACACUUUGCGAGCUCAUAUUUUGGAGGUCAGCAGUGGCUGUGAUGUGUUUGAAUCCGUUGGAACAUAUGCGAGAAAAAGGCAGAGAGGGAUUUGUGUGCUCAGUGGGAGUGGUAUGGUAACCAACGUGAGCCUGCGUCAGCCAGCCGCCUGCACGGCAGAUUCGAGAUUCUGUCGUUGACUGGCUCGUUUCUGCCGCCCCCUGCGCCACCCGGGGCCACUAGCCUGACCAUAUUUUUGGCUGGUGGUUCGGGCCAGGUUAUGGGUGGAAAUGUUGUAGGAGCACUCAUAGCAUCUGGGCCUGUUAUUGUCAUAGCCUCAUCGUUUACCAACGUAGCUUAUGAGAGGUUGCCCUUGGAGGAAGAGGAGCAGCUGCAGAUGCAGCAGCCUGUGCCGCAGUCUUCGGGCGGCGGAGGCAGUGGCGGUGGCGGUGGAGGAAUAACCAACCCCUUUCCAGAUCCGUCUUCGGGACUUCCCUUCUUCAAUCUUCCGCUCAAUAACAUGCCUCAUCAGCUGCAGGUUGAUAGUUGGGGAGGAAACUCUGCCGGGCGGCCGCCUUAUUGAUAGUUUUGCUAGCUAUAGGUCAGGUCAUGACCAAGGUCAGAGAAUCGAUCCUUACAUCAAUAUCAAUCACCCCUCAUCUUGUACAAUUAUUUUUCUUGCUUAAUUUCUUUUUCUUUUUCUCUUGUCCUAACUUCAAUUUGGUUCCUAAUUUUAAGUGCUUUUUUAAUGUGUUGUUGUUGAUGAUCAUCUCCAUAUGGAAUGAUGAUGGAAGUUGGAUUUUGGAACUCCCUUUUCUUAAUUAGAAAUGGUUUCAAAGAAUAUUGUAGCUU